AAAAGGUGGCUGCCGGCACGGCAUGUGGUUUUUUGUUGUUGUUGGCAGUCGGCAGUUGGAGUCGGCAUGGCAACAGAAGAAAGAGAGGGGGAGAGAGAAGAGGUGGCGGGGCUCAUAAGAGCAAAGUCAUUUUAGGCCAUAGCCUCACCUUAAUCAAGCGAUGACGUCAACCUCCUAUCGAAGGCUGCUGGACAGCCAUCAGCAGAGGAAACCGUGCUCCCCCAACGCCCUCCUUACUGCCCACUCCCUCCUGAGAUGGGACGCCGGACCAGGACGUGCCAGUUCACGCAGCUGCACGAGGAUCUAUGGUGCCAGUUCCUAUGCUCCUCUCAACCUUUAUGGGCUAAGGCAACAAAGGAGGAGAGAAUUUGCCUACCAUUUCCAGAAACAUCACCAGCAAUUAAUAGAUCCAUCUGUUGACUUCAAUUGCCCAGGCUGUUAGCAUCAACCAAUUCAACCAAAUCCUAACCAGGAUCAAACAAUGGGAAGGAUGUGCUGACCAGCUGCACUAUUGAUGCCAGCCUUCAGUUAAGAGUUCUGGCAGCUCUGCAAUGCAUGGCAAAUACAAUGCACAAAAGCGAGAUCAAUGGCAAAACAGGAAGGGAGGGAAGCAUGCCUAUGAUUUCUAAUUUAAGCAAAUACAACUGGUCCCCAUUGUAUACAGCAAACAAUCACGUCCACCCCUAUUUACAGUGCCUGCAUGUGUCUGUGUACGGAAAUUGCCUCUGCAAACCCUGGUCCCAGAAGUGGCAGAGCAGCCAUGAUACAGAACAAAACCCUUAAGACAGUCAAAAACAAAGUACCGCACUUCAAGCUUGACAGGCACCAAGGGCUUCCCUUCCCUUUCUUCAUUCAACUCUGGCCCCUUCUUCUCUGCCUCAAAGAAAAAUACCUUGGCCUCUUCAACACAAUUUCCUUCUGCUGUAAUGCUAAGAACUGAGAAGCAACAGUCUAAUAUAAAUCAAAGGUAUUUAGUUUACUGACAAUUUUUUAAAUGAAAAAUGCUCCAAGGACAAAUCUCUAUAAUUAACAGGAAGAAGUUGUGGAGGAGAUGAUGUUCCAGUUUUUCUCUUAGCCUGAUCUAGCAGACCGAGAAUCAACAUAAUUAAGAGUAAACAAACCAUCUCAGCCUGUAGCUGCACCGCCAGGGCAAUACACUUCUCCUGCCAUCUGAAUACUCUCCAUAACUUAUUUUCCCUCCUUUCUCUACCCAAAUUGCUUGCAAGUGUGCUGGUGUUCAUUUUCAAAUAAGGCUGUGUAUGUUGGUUAUCUUGAAGCCAAGUGCUUCAAUUCACGCAUUUCUUCAGUCUCUUCCUGUGCUACUGCAGCUGAAGCAGGGGCCAGCUUGGGGAUGUUGUCCACCUCUGGUGGAUGGGGACUCUGUGCAGACCUGGAAAUGAUAUCGCUCCAGCUCUGUGGCUGCCAACUUUGGUGGCGUGUGCUGAGUAAAUGUGACCUUGGUUCUGGUCUCUAGCUAAGACAUGCAAGUGUUUUAUCUUUGGGAACUUGACUUCCCUUCAGAAACCACAAGCCUGCAUCUGAGACAGAGGGUGAGACCAAAUGCAAAGGGAAAAAAUGGUGAAGGAGGGCAGCAGGGAGGAGGUAAGGGUAUGUGUACUUAAUGCACUGUUUAGAUGAUGGGUGUGGACGACAGCUGAGUCUGUCAGCUUCUUAGUUUUCCUUCAUCUCUGGAGUAUCUACUUUUUCUAUAGUGGUAGUAUAGUUAUAGAAUGGGUCAAACCUAGCCCUUGGUGAUGCUCCUUCAGACUUGUUAGUGACUUGUAGUUGUCCUGUUGUCUACAGUCAAUCUGAAAAUGCAAGCAAUGGUACACAUCUCCUUAACCUGUCCUUUAGCAGUGCAUGAGCCCCUGGCUGUUAAGUGGCAUUGAAAAAGAAGCUUUUGAGAGGUAUUUCAAAUUUCCCUUAAUCUGUUUGUUUUGUUGCCUUUUGAUGGCAGGUCAGCUGUUUCCCAAGAGUUGGUGCAAUUGUGUGAAGGAGGUACUAUGGUGGUGAUGCAAUUGCUGAGUGGGGAGAGACAGAAUGUUUGAUUCUCUAAUCUUCCCUUUGUAUAUGGCUUUCACAAUGCUUGAUUUUCUAAUCUUAUUUUUUUCUGUCUUUAAAUAUUUUAAAAUCAAAAACAAAUAAAGAUUAGGAAAGUCAAACA
rnacentral:lncRNA from 1 species